CUAUUCUUUCGGGGCUGGGUGAAAUUCCCAACCGGCAGUAAAUAAAGCCUGCGACCCGUAGUUAUUAACUAUGGCUGAUCUAGUGAGAUUCUAGAGCCGACAGUGAAAGUCUGGAUGGGAGGAAGAAUAA
rnacentral:ncRNA from 2 species